AUGGCAAGGACGCGGGUCGUCAUGGACAAACUUGAACAAGAACUCGACGCCAUGCAUUCUGCUGAAAAUGGAGGUGUCGCGGAAAAUGAAGCCAUUGAGAAGGAUAUUGCUACAAUGUUAUCCGAGAUGAACCACAUGGGAGCUAUUGACCCAUUUGAGAACGAGGAAGAGGAGCAGCAGCAACUGGAGCUUGCCUGUGUGCACACUCAAGAGCACCGACAAACUCACAUGCGAGAUCAUGAGCUCGAUGGUGUUGUAGGCGAACAACAUGACAAUAGCACAUCCUACCAGCAGCAGCAGGAAAGGGUGAUUAAACCCCCAAUAUUCUCAAACACAAAGGGGAGGAAGAGCAAGCAGCAGCCAAAAAGCCACCAUGCCCCAUCAAGCACGUGGAAUUUGGCCCGGACAGCAAACCCCUCGGGGUAA
rnacentral:rRNA from 1 species